CAGUACCACCACCACCACCACCACCAACACCGUCUGACCAGCAGAGCUCUGGAAGUGACCGCCUCGUUAUUGAUACCGAGGAGGAGGAGGAGGAAAUGGGGGAGCCUUCAGGCCAGCCUGAUGUCACUUACCUGUACGUGGACUCUGAGCCGGAGGAGUAUAUAAUUAUUGACAGUGAUGAGGAAGGGGAGAAAAAGCCCUCUCCCCAACUUGGCCCUACACUGUCACAGGCGGUGGCGGAGGAGGAGGACCAGGACUCUAUGUCCAUCACCUCACUGCACCCAUUAAG